rnacentral:rRNA from 1 species
CCUACGGGGGGCAGCAGGCGCGAAAACUUUACACUUCGGGAAACCGCGAUAAGGGGACCCCGAGUGCCAGCACCUAGUGCUGGCUGUCCAGCUGUUCAAAAAACAGUUGUUAGCAAGGGCCGGGCAAGACCGGAGCCAGCCGCCGCGGUAACACCGCCGGCCCGAGUGGUAGCCGUAAUUAUUGGGUUUAAAGGGUCCGUAGCCGGCUUAUUAAGUCUCUUGGGAAAUCUGGCGACUCAAUCGUCAGGCGUUCAAGAGAUACUGCUAGGCUUGGGACCGGGAGAGGUGGGAGGUACUCCAGGGGUAGGGGUGAAAUCUCGUAAUCCUUGGGGGACCACCGAUGGCGAAGGCAUCCCACCAGAACGGGUCCGACGGUGAGGGACGAAAGCUGGGGGCACGAACCGGAUUAGAUACCCUAGUAGUC